rnacentral:rRNA from 1 species
UACGAAGGGUGCAAACGUUGCUCGGAAUUAUUGGGCGUAAAGAGCUCGUAGGCGGUUUGUCGCGUCUGGUGUGAAAAUCCAGGGCUUAACCCUGGACCUGCAUCGGGUACGGGCAGACUAGAGUGCGGUAGGGGAGAUCGGAAUUCCUGGUGUAGCGGUGAAAUGCGCAGAUAUCAGGAGGAACACCGGUGGCGAAGGCGGAUCUCUGGGCCGUAACUGACGCUGAGGAGCGAAAGCAUGGGGAGCGAACAGGGA